GUUCCGAUGGCCGAGGAGAUUACGGCACUGGUCUUAAACAGCAGGACCGGGGUUCGAAUCCCAUUCGGAUCG
rnacentral:tRNA from 1 species